rnacentral:misc_RNA from 1 species
GAAAUGCGAUAAGUAAUGUGAAUUGCAGAAUUCAGUGAAUCAUCGAAUCUUUGAACGCACAUUGCGCCUAUUAGUAUUCUAGUAGGCAUGCCUGUUCGAGCGUCAUUUCAACCAUCAAGCCCCCGGGCUUGUGUUGGGGACCUGCGGCUGCCCGCAGGCCCUGAAAACCAGUGGCGGGCUCGCUGUCACACCGAGCGUAGUAGCAAUCACCUCGCUCAGGGUGUGCUGCGGGUUCCGGCCGUUAAACAGCCUUACAAAACCCAAGGUUGACCUCGGAUCAGGUAGGAAGACCCGCUGAACUUAAGC